AUGCGCCAAACCCAAACCCAAACCCAAAGCCGUCAUCAAGCCAUCAAUCUAUUAUAUACUUCUCUGUUUCCGUAUCAUUCAUUCUUGCUUGCUUCAUCAUCGUUUUUGAGUUUUGACGCGCACUCUCUCUCUCUCUCUCGUUUUUGUCUUCUGUCUCCACUUCUUUGGUGGAUUAUUAUGGAGCUUCUUGAUCGGGAGCUCCUGUUCGCAACCUUUGUUACUCUCUUCUUCUCCUUCAUUCUUGCCAAGCUUAUAUCUCUAGCUGUGGCGGGCAGUGGCGAUGAGCUAGGGUCAAAAUCGACGGAAACUGCUGACAGUGCUGAAAAAGUUGUGGAGGAUAUGAAGUUCGUGGGAGGAUUGAGAGUUCAGCGUUCUGAAACCAAAAACCGAGUGCAGUUCGUUGAAGAAGCACUUGAAAAGGUAGAUGAUUUUGGGGGCGAAACAUCGGUUGAUGCGUCGGAUAAGUUGCUUUGUGGCCAGGAGUUUAAGGAGAAACGGUGUGAUUCGGCGGGAGACGUUUCUGAUGUGGUUGGAUCGUCCGAGAAGUCGCCGGGGGGAGGGCUGAGCGAGGACGAGGUCGCAAUGGAGGUAUUGCGCGGGAUUGGUGUGGAAGGACGUAAGGAAGAAAAUGUAUUUACCCAUUCGGAUGGAUUGGUUGUCGAUUUGACAAGUGAAGGAGCAGAGGUGGAUGAAUUUGACGGCGUUGACAGAGAGGAAAGAAUCACUGGUUUGGUCGUCGAGGAAAACGCCGUUGAAAAUACAGAGGCUGAUGAUGAGAUGGUCGCAAAACUGGCGAGUGGAGAGAAUCAGCGGAGUGGAAUUGAAGAGGAACUGACAAAAGAAGAUGAAAAGAAGGGAGGAUUGGUUGAUGAGGAUGAGGAUGAUUGGGAGGGGAUCGAGAGGAGUGAAUUGCAGGGGACCUUUGCUGCAGCAGCUAAUUAUGUUGAUCAGUUACCGGACCUUGAUAGUGAUGUACAGAUGCAGUUAUACGGACUUCACAAGGUUGCCACUGAAGGGCCUUGCUAUGAAACUCAACCGAUGGUACUUAAGGUCUCUGCACGUACAAAAUGGAAUUCAUGGCAAAGGCUGGGGAACAUGAGUCCGGAGGUUGCUAUGGAGCAAUAUAUCAACCUGCUUUCAGAUAAAGUUCCUGGAUGGAUGGAAGGCACAGCUUCUGAUACUGGCAAUGGAUAUUCUUUAGAGUCUGCAAUAUGUGGUGCCUCGUGUCCUGACAUAAGCACAGACCCAGUUAACCAACUUAAUUCCACCACGGGAAGAGAAUUAGAAUUAAAGUCUGUUGCUGACGGAGGUGAUCUGACUUGCUGCUCAAAGUCUGUAAUUAAGGAAUAAUUACUCCAGAAGAAACAAUCAUGUAGAACAUGAGUCGAACUAGAGCAAGAGCAGGGUCGACUUCACAGGAAGAUAUUAACAUCUGUCCAAAAAGAUCAUCAGAGAUAGAGGAAGUCCAUUGCAAGUCAAAGUUCUAGGGUAUUUCUCUGGACACAUACCGGAAUUUUAUAUCAAUGCCAGGAAAAGCCUUUUUCCUUGUAAUGUUGUUAGGUAAAGACCUUUCUCACAAAUGACAACUUAUCAUUUGCCUUAAUCCCACUAGAUUGGGUUGGCUACAUAAAUUUUAGCUCAUUAGUCAUCUCUAUCUAUGACCUUCUCACAAACAGCUUGUAUAUUUUUCUGAGAUAGUGUUCUAGCUAAAUCAAUCCUGUCAAUAAUGGUAUGGGCUGUUGGAAUAAUGCUUUGUAUGUAGAGCUUCAUCCUGGUGGCAUAGAGUAAAAGAUGUAGCUUGUGCCAACACUCUAGAUUAGUAAAAGUUGUGAUGUCUCUUUGCUUACCACUGAUGAUCUUAGGAUAGAGGAUAGUUCUGUUUCCAUCAUUCACAAUCCACUAGAGGAAAACAUAUUUAUUUAAUGUGCAGUGCUUUCUGGAACAUGGCUGUCAUACACUCAAAAUUACAAAUUGAUGGGAAAAAUUUUAGUGUACUCAACCUAUUUAUUAUGGGAUUUGUUUCCCAAUCUAUUUUGGCUGGCUUGAGAUGGGAUAGUUGCUGUUAGCUUGUUUUUU